ACCACCCCUCUUCUCUUCUGGUUUGUAUCUUUCAAUUUUUUCUACCCCGAUUGUAGCCUGAGAAAAUGUAUGUGUAAGUACGGAUCCGAAUAGCUCAAAGAUUAUCUAGCAGGAUAGGAACGAGUAAGUAUGGGAUCUAACUGUCAAUCCAAGAUUAGUUGGAUCACGGCUGUUCAAAUGAUUCAUAUGAAAGAGAUAGGCUCGGGAGGAAAAAAUUGCAAUACUGAAAACAUUGACCACUCGUGAUUUUGCCAUAGGCUGGGGAGCUGUCAGCCAGUGACUGGCAAAAGAGAAUUGUUCAAGGGUUAUUUGUGUAUCUGGCACUUUUCGUCAAGUUAUUAUUCCCCACUUGCAGUUCAGAAUCAAACAAUUUUGCUCCCUUAUACUGCUCAUCUGCCUUGAGACUAGCUGAUUAGCUUAUUUUGACUGACUACAAUCCAUAAUGUAAAGUGAUUUCUGUAACGACUAUGUGGCUGGACUUACAAGCUGAGUUCACAAUUACUACGAAUAAACAAGCAUUGCUGUUUGAUAUGUCCAUCGCGUUGUUUCUUGCGUGGAUAGUCUUAAGUGUGCUGACUUGCUUAGGCUUUAUGCACUUCCAAAAACUUGAGGUAGCUGGAUUGUUCCUGAUGCCACUUAUUCCCAAACACCUACCUGGUUGGCUGGUUGCAAGAGGAGUGCAUUCUCUCUUCUUCUUUUUUUGUUUCUUCUAAUGCGGAAGAUAACCCUAGGAAGGGAGGGCACAAGAAUAUAUAUAUAUACACAGUUGACAGCAGAGUACUUAUGUUUUCCCCAUAUCCUUUGCCCUUUAUUGUCCUAUGUUUUUGCUUCACAUCAUGCUUUUUCUAGCUCAUUAUACAGUGGUCACCAACAGCUAGAAUGCUAGGUCGGAGAAUAUAAAUACAAAAAACUGAAGAGGGAAUGGUGCCUAGAACUACAUAGGGGUUUUGCGUUUGCAAAGUUUCAGGGAAAGUAAGGCAUGCUGGGUUUGCCUUGCCAACCCUUUCUCAGUCAGGAUGGCUGACACAGAAAUUACUGUUUUUGGAAGCUCUGGUUUCAAUCAAAGCAAAUCCUUGCUUGUACUUGCCUAGAGAUAAAGGUGCACAAGGGAAUCAAACAUGGUCUACAUUCUUGGUAUUGGGCAUAUACAAACAGGGUAGCUUCAGUUUUUUGCUUGGAGUGAAUCGCGCCGUAGGGUGUAGGCAUAAUAAGUACACCACCUAAGCUUGUGUAUAAGUAUUGUGUGUCUUCGAACCUGAAAUGUGCACAUUAAGUCCUUAAACUUGAGAACCGUAUUAAGUUUGUAGGUGACAAGCUAGCAUAAUCUAAACAGAUAUUUAGCUACAAAAAUAGUCAGUUACUCAGGUCAAUCUGUGGAUAGCUGACGUUCUUAAAUUAUUCUUUAUUUUUGUCGGAAAAAAAAAUCAAUUAGGCUUCUUCUGAUCUUACUCCGGCCAUGAGUAGCCAUGCCUGCAUCACUCAACAUGCUCCAUCACCGGUGGUUUGCUGGCAGGGUCGAGUGACAGAAGCUAUCCUUGUGAUCUUUCCAUGUGCUCCUCAUGUUCAGACUUCAGAGACUGGCACUGGCACAGCAGACCAGCAAUUGCAUCAAGACUACUCGAUGGGUCCAAGUGGCCGUCUCUGAACUCAAGGAUUGGCUUGCACCAGCUUAUUGGUUUGUUGGUACCAUCUUGCAGUCUCAUGACUCCCCGUGGCUGCAGGGUUGAUUGUGAUCUUAAAUUAUGUCAGAACGCAUGAUUGUGAAGGGUCUGGAAUUUUUGUUUUCUGCUUAUGUAAUUUUUUCUUGAGUUUGUCUGGUUUGCAGUUGGAACAGAUAAUUGGAUUAAGAAUUUCCUGUAAGAUGUGUGCAACUAGCUCCAAGACAUAGAACAUUGAACGAAGGCUGUACUAUUUGACUGGUAUCAGUUGUAUGAUCCCGUAGAGUUUUAUGAGCUAUACGAGUAAACAAUGUUGCACUAAAA